CCUCGCGAGGGCCUGGAUUAUUAUCCACUGGCCCCUCCUGUCUCUUCUAAAAGGCUAUUUAUAGGAAUGCCAAGGAGUGGAGCGAAGACCUCCCCCAGCUCAGCCAAGAGUAGACCCUUCCAAUCACCUAGAAACCACACACAUGGUGAAGCAAUCCUCUAAUGCAGCUCUGCUGGGUAAAGCAAGCUCCGAUCUCACUAGGAACCUUUGUGGGCCUCCACAAGAAAGCGAGGGACAAGAAUGCUCAUCUCUGCUUUCUAAGUGGACCCGAUGCGACCAGCCACCUCACUCCUGCUGCUGUCUUUCCUACCAUGGUGGACUGUCCUCUACCUCCAGCCAACCCUUCCAUGCUGUCUUUCCGCUUGCCACUGUGCCUUCCUGGCCACAGGGAUGUUCCUCUGGAACCCUUCUUCCUGUUUAUCACAGCAACAGGACAGUAACAAGUACACCUGCUGCUUGUCAGCUUCCAUCACCACAGCAAAAUCCCCGGAGCAAUCCACUGCUGACGAGGUUGCAGUUCACCAUUGCGUGGUCCUGCUGCUUGGGGCCUGUGGUGGCACAACACAUCAUGGUGGGUGUACACGGGGAGAGGUUGCUUACCUCAGGGCAGCUGGGGAAGAGAGAGAGGUAAAAUGGGCCAGGGUCCCCUGUCUUCUUCAAGACACACCUCCAGCGCCUAGCUUCCUUCUACCAGGAACCCCUCGUAGCACCACGUGCUAGAGACCAAGACUUGUCUUGGGGGAGGGCCGUCUCUUGACAUGCUAUAAGAAGGCCUCCAUCACGUGCCAGCACCUGUCCAGGACUUAAAGCCUCAAGGACCACGAACGAGUCGAUGUCCGUUCUUACCUUUCCAGGCUUUGCUUUCUCUGCAAGGCCCUGGCUUCUGUUGUAACUCCUCACGUUUACACUCCACACACUCAGACGUUCUUCUGAGAUGGACCGUGGGUUGCUACGCGGCCACAGAGGACGAGGGAGGUAGAAGGAUGUUCUGCUUCCUUUGGUGGACACCAAACACACUUCAGUCUUCUCAUGGGAGCUCUGGUGAGAGACAGAGGGACGGAGGGAGAGAUGGAGGGGGAGAGAGACUGAGCGAGUGAGCUGGCACCAGCGUCAGCUGCUGCAAGGAGCAGCCCCACACCAGAAUGCUUUCCAGGCUGAGUGUCUACAUUUUGCAGCAGGUAGGGUCAGGGAUUCAGUCAGCUUGGGACCUGGGGCUGGAGGGAAGCAAAGCUGUAGACCUUGUUUGCUGUUUUUGGUCAAAGGCCACCCUUCAAACACAGUUCUUUUCACUGGGGCUGAACUUUUGACCUAUGUUUGGUUUCUGAUUUUCAUUUUCUAGGGAGUCCAUGGGAUUAUGUUCAAUGAGGGGAUUAAAUUGCUUUAUUAGAAUCUAUCAAUUAUGGAUAACCAGGGUUUCAGUAUGCCACGUUCAUACAUGUGUAUAUUUUGCUUAUAUGCACUCCCAUUACCUCGUUUUUCUGACACUCCCCUCUUCUCCACCUGUUCCUCUUCUUUCACGUCUUUUUCUUGUUUGUUUUGGUGACCCAGCGAGUGUCAUCAGGUGCAUGCAGGAGCCUAGAUGAGGGCUCAUUACAGGAGCAUGGGCGCUUUAUCAGUGGCUACACUACACUACUGAAGAAAAUUUCUCCCUUCAGUGAUGGGAUAUUUUUAAAUUUUACUUAAAGAAAGUAACUUUGUUCUGAAAUGAUGCAUGUUUUCCCACUAUAGAAAAUAUGGAUUAACUAAAAGAGAAACAUCAACAAGGCUCCCUGUCACUCAAUUGCUCUGCUGAGGGCUUGGAGUCAGAACUUUCCGUUUGUGAAGGGAACCCGUGUGUACUGCCUUGUCACCAUUGAUGAGGGACAUCUUCUCGUGUUCAUUUUUCUACUAUUAUUAGUUCAAUACAACUUGCUCUUUCAUUGUGAUGAAAUUGUAAUGGACGUGAUGUUGACCUCCCACGGAUGUGACACCCAGGCUGGAUCUGUUAGCCCUGAUUUACAGAUCUGAAGCAAAGCAGAGUGGAGACUUUCUGAGCCUGGGUUUUUCUCUGUAAAAUGCAGACUUGACAGUUUUUACUUCUGCGACUGUUCUGCACAGAAAAUCAAAUUAGCUACUUUUGAUAAAAAUGCUAAAAUCUCUCAUUUAUAACAGAAUGUGAGGAGGCAUCAAAUUCAGUUCCACUAGCGAGUAACUGGCCCCCACCACGUCUGUCUGCAUGCCGCCAUGUUUCCUGCCAUGAUGAUAAUGGACUGAACCUCUGAACUGUAAGCCAGCCCCAAUUAAAUGUUUUCCUUUAUAAGAGUUGCCGUGGUCACUGUGUCUCUUCACAGCAAUAGAAACCCUAAAUAAGACACCCUUAUUACCUACCAUCCCUUAUUUUUUCCUCGUGUAUGUGUGUAUACAUAUGUAUGUGUGUGUGCUAUAUAUGUGUACACAUGUUCCUGUGUGUGCACGUGUGUGGAGGCCAGAGGUCAGCAUCAAGUAUCUUUCCUCAAUCACUCGCCGCUUCUUUUUUGAGACCUCGUCUCUCACUGGACCUGGAGCUCACUGAUUUGAGUAGACUGACUGGUCAGGGAGCUCUAAGGGUCCUCUUGUCUCUGUCCCGAGUCCACUCUGGGGUCACAGCUGCAUGUCACAGGUGCAUGCCGCAGGCUGUAGUUGGCGUUUUUACAUGCGUGCCGGGGAUCUGAACCCAGGCACUCAUGCUCGUUCAGCACUUUUCCCACAGAGCAUCUUCCCCAGUGCCUGGCGGUCUCCUUGCCUGUUCGCUCACUGGGACUCUGAUGUCACCACGGCAACCUUCUCUCUUGCCCUUAACCAUCAAACAAAGACCGCUUAGGUAAGGUAACGGUAAGAGGGUUCCAAACCCCUGUUCUGGGCUCAGGGUGAGAAACUGUGAGCACUGAAGGCUUUGGAUCCCUGUGGGAGGGGAACAUCCCUCAGCCGCUGACCUAGCACUGAGUCCUUGUCUGGCCUUUGCUGCUGACCGGCCUCCAGCUUCAUCCUAGCUUGAAUAUUAGCUGAAUGUGUGCAUUGGACAGGCCAGCGAACUCCUUUUAAAAGACUUUAUUCUUUUCAUUGCAAAAUGGAAUAAUAACAACAAAAUGUAUAAAAUUGUCACAAGGACCAGGUACUGCCCCAUGUGAGGGUGCUCAGUGUUCCAGCCUGGCUUGGCUGAGUCAACGAGCCCCAAACGCGGGGCUUAACCAUCAUCCGUACCAUCCACAGUCCUGCAUGCCAGAGUCCAAGGUCCAGGUGAGCAGGGCUGGGCUCUUGAGACCCCUCCUUGCCUACAGGGCUGCCUUCUCCUGGUGGGGUCACCUCUGGUGCCCUCUUCCCAUUUCCUGUAGUCACAUUGGUUAGGGGAUCUCUCCAACCUGUCAGUCCACCUUAACUCCAAACAACGUCACUUUCUGAGGUGCCAGGUUUAAGAUGACCGCGUAUGAUUUUCAGGGACCAUCCAGCCUAUACCAUGCAGUACAGUGUCAGAGUCAGAGGUGAUCAUUGUGGCUCCUGUCGACUGAAUUCCUUCUCUCCUUUGAGACAAGGUCUCGUGAUUUUCAGAUUGGCCUUGUACUUGUUACAUAACCAAGGACAACUUUGAACUCCCGGGCUUUGUGCCUCCAUCCCUCCAGUGAAGGGAUUACAGGUCCGUAUCAUUACUCCUGGCUUAUGUGAUGCUCGAGAUCAAACUUGGGGCCUGUGGGUGCUGGGGUGAGUGCUCUUCCCACUGAUUCACAUCUCCAGGCCCAGUCACUGAGCGUUUUAGUUACUUUUUGUGUUGCUGUAACCAAAUACUUUGGUUACAACUUGAAAACAAUGUAGCAAGACUGCUCCGCUACUGCUCGGCUCGUGAUUCAGUCUGUGGUCACUUGGCUGGGUCUUUGUGAGGCAGGACCCUGGUGGCGGGACUAUGCCGUGAAGAUCACUUAUCUCAUGGUGCACAGGAAGCAGACGGAGGGGAAGAGCCUGAAACCAGGUGUAAAUGUCAAAGCCCACCCUAGUGACCUUCUUCCUGUAUUCAGACCUCCUCAGAUUUGCACCAGCUCCGACCUGGUACUCCCUGCCUGUCUGGCACCAACGCUGGUAUUUGCUUUCUUCUCCAAGGGGAACGCAGGAAGUGGCCUCAUCUCUGUGUUGGUUACUUUUCUCAGUCCCGUGACCAAAGCAGUUUAAGGAGGAAGGAAUUAUUCCCCUUGCAUUUUGCAGGUUCAGUCCAUCAUGGCAGGAAAACCAUGGAUGCUGGAACUGGAGGCUGCUGGCCAUGCUGCACCCACAGUCAGGAAGCUGAGGGAGAGGGGUGCUGGUGCUCAGUUUGGCUUCUCCUUUUCAUUUGUCUAAGACCCGAGCCCAUGGAAUGUUGCUGCCUAAGUUUAGGGGGGGUCUUCUCACCUCAAUUAACUUAACCUGGAAACUGCUCACAGACAUGUCCAGAAGUGCUUCCUGGGUGACCCUAGGUCAUGCCAAGUAGACAGCAUUGACCGUCACACCAGGAUACACAGAUCCAAACACCAUUCAAUUGAGUAUAAAACAUACCCAAGGCAUUCUCAGGUAACCAGACAGAGGACCCAUCAGACUACAGAAAAGCUGGUGACACAGGCCUGGGGCCCAGCAGCCCACCCUGGCCAUUCCGUGUGGACCCAGCCAACCGCUGUUCUCCAGUGUCUCAUAUUCUGGCCGCUGCUCACACUCCUGACUGCACAUCAGGAGUGCAUGGGCAUCUCUUACAAACAUUCCCCGGCAUGGUGCACCACUCAGACAACCACGCCAGAGUUUGCAGGGCCCAGACUAGAAUUUUAUGAGGUAGAUCCUGGAGCACAGCCAGGUUGCUGUCUGCAGAGGUAUGUAUGCAGAAUUUUAGAGUCUUCUCUGCUCCAGCCACCCUGGCUUCCAGACGAACCUCAUCUUUGGAGGCUCCAGGGACCUAGAAUGUUGGGCAUCCCUAGAGUCACUGAGGUGUGGUUUUCUUCAGGCUCACCUCCCAAAGACAGGACCAGGUGGUGCAGGACCCAUAAAUGUGUGGGAGGAUCUGGCACUUGCGGCCCUGGGCUGCCACAUUCUGAGCCAGCAUCAUCCAGUCUCAACCCCUCAUCCACUGCCUCUGCUCUGGUCCUCUUCCUGUCUCUCAUCAAGAUGCUGGCCUUAGAGUCCAUCUGCAUGGGAGUGACAGCUAGUGCUCCUAACCUUAAUCUUUGGUCCAAACAAGUAAUGUUCUAGGGUCCAGGGCAGAUACAUUUUGGGUCACGGACACCAUUUAACUUAUUCUGCCCAGAAAGGCCUUAAAAACUGCACCCAGGUGAGAAUCUGUGGGGUCUGGGUCUGGGUCUGGGUGUGGUGAGCUUGCAAAGUUCUGGGUGUUUCUAAUUCAUGCUCUGCUUGUGACACCAGUGUGUCUGUUGUCUUCCCAUGUCGACACAAGGAAAGCCGAAAAGGCUCACUUCCAUCAGAGGGAGGUGUCCGUGGUCUGUGUUCAACUUCCUAUUCUAGUCUGGUCCUACUGGGUGUGGUGGGUUGUGUGUCUUUUUCAGUAAAUAAAACCUAGGAGGGAGCUGUUUGGGCUUCCCAGUGCUCUGUCUUCAAUGCUGGUGUGUUAUUUUGGGCUUCUCCACACCUGGACAACCGUGAGCUCAACAGGCCCUGCUUGUCACCCCUUGGUAACCCGAGUCUCUGGGGUUCACAGGUCUGGAACAAAAGUCUUCAGUCCUUGAGGUGGUGAUGGUUUUCUCCUGAGGAGUUGUGAAGCCAGUUUUGUGGGGUUAGUUGGCUGGGUUUCCAAUGGAGAGCUUUUGACCCACAAAGGCCUCAUUCAGCGGUCCCCUUCAGUCUUAAUGAGUUGCAGACUUAGACAGCAGCCCCGGGCCAGAGGGCCCCUCUCUGGUUUCCACUCUGCUGCAGGCUGGACCCCUUGCAGUGGCUCCUCUUGGCGGAGAUUCCCGGUGACAGAUCCACCUUUGUGACCCUGGCUCGGGCUCCUUUGCUGUUGAACAGAAUUUGAAAAAAAAUGUGAGCUUCAGGUGGGUGUCCCCUUGGAACUGAGUUCCUUUGGCCACAUUUUGGGCUCUGGUUUACUUUUGGGGCAAAGGGGUAGAUGGGGACCAGACUGAAGCCCUUCACAGGAUUGUCAAUUCAAUUCUUUAUUUGCAUUUCUGGAAAAAUAUUAAAGUAACCCUUUUCAUUUCUCCCUUUUAAACUUUUUUUUUGAGCUGGGCACAGUGGUGUACACCUUUAAUCUCAGCAUUUGGGAGGCAGAGGCAGGCAGAUCCCAGUUCAAGGCCAACCUGGUCUAUAGUGUGAGUUUCAGGACAGCCAGGGGUACACAGAGGAACCCUAUCUUGAAAAAUCAAUCAAUCAAACAAAAACAAAACAAACAAACAAAAACCAACUUUUCUUUUUUUUUGAGAAAGGUAUGCUAUGUUGCCCAGGUUGGCUGUGAACUUUCUUAGUUUGCCUCCCAGGGGCUGAGGCUGCAGACAAGAGUCUCUUUUCUCUUUUCCUUCUCUCUUGUUGCUUUCUUUUCCAGAACUGCUUUGCAAGGGGUCCCUCUGGCCACAGCUGAGACUCCCUCUUCUUCUCCUUGACUCUUCAGCCCGCAGGCAGUGUCUGUCCUCCUGAAAGAAGGGAAAGGGAAGAUCUGGGUGUGCUGAGGCAGAUUCUCCUGACCUGAGCCCGAUGAAUCGUGCCUGAGGCCCCUGCAGAGUGGGUUUGGAGAACUUCCCUGGGGACAGGGCAGUCGUGAAACUUGGCUUCCAGGGGGACUCCACUGCUUCCUGUGUUUGCAAAGGACCUACAGCUCACUCUAAGUGCUGGACCAGUGAGUGACUAACCCUCCCAAGAGCUUCUUCUCAAACACGUGGCAACAUGAAGUCUGGACUUCUGUGAUUGUCCCAUCUCACUGCCAUCCAGUUCACACUGAGUACCUCCUCUGUGGAAACUCUUCUGUAGAGGAAUCUGAGGGAGUGGAAGAAGUCCAGCAGUGGGCAGCUGGGGAGGCAGGCUAGUCAGUAAACUACGUGCCCUGCGAGCAUGAACGACUGGGUUCGGUCCUUAGAAUCCAUGUAAAAUAUCCAGGUGUGGUGACAUUUGCUCGCAAUCCCAGUCUUGGGGAGGCAGAGAAAGGAGGAUCCCUCCUGGGUCUGUUUAGUUAGAUAGGUAAGGUCUAUGUCUCAGUGAGAGACCCUGUCUCAAAGAAAGCAAAAUGGAUGGGGAUGAAGGAUUGGCAUCAGAGCUUGACCUGUCACCUUCACACUCACAUGUGUGCAUGCACACACUCAUGCAUGCACACACACACAUAUGCAAGUACACACUCAUGCAUACACACACACACACACACACACACACACACACACACACACACGCG